rnacentral:lncRNA from 1 species
GGAAAAGGAACUCACUGGGAAGACCUAGUGUUUCAGUUUUAACUAUUAACCAAUAGUGGAAAAACAAGGAUGCCUAAGUUAUGCCUUCAGAGCCAAUAGGGUGGAUUUGUGUGCCCCACAUGACAGCAUUUCCCUUGUCUUUCACAUGGGCCGUAUUUAGUUCAAUUCAGAACUGCAGAUAGUACAGCUUGCACAGCAGCAAUGGGAUGUCUGAGCACAAGUGGCUGACUUCCAAGUGACUUUAUGAAGCACUUUUGUACUUUCCUUCUGCAUUGAAUUGGGAUCUGCAUCCUUGACAUUCACCCACCACACUCAUCUCUACUGAAGGAAACAGUGACUAGCACAGCUUUGCAGUAUGAAACUAGGAAUUGGAGCAGAAUUGCAGACCAACAAAUGAAGUGAGCUGAAGGCAAUUUGACCAAUGUUUUCUGUGUGAAUUCCACAGAGGCUGAUGAAGCAUGUUAUCAAUUCUCCAAGGUCCAGUGUCAAUACAAUAUGAAGAUGUGGCAUUUGAGAGGGUUUUCUUUUAAAAUGGAGGAACACCAUGAAGAAUGGAACAGAAGAACAGGUGACAACUUCAAGGCAUCGUUAAAAAGAGUCAAGAUGGUCAUGUGGGUAAGAUGUGGACUGGGAGCUGGCACCACCCCCAGCCCCGGCCUGACCCGACCCCAAGCCAACCCCUUCCCCAAAGUCCCUGUCCCAACUCCACUCCCUCCCUGCUCCUAAUGGACUCCUUCCCCAAAUCCCCGGUCCUUCCCCAAGCACACCACAUUCC